rnacentral:rRNA from 1 species
UACGGGGGGGGCAAGCGUUGUUCGGAAUUACUGGGCGUAAAGGGCUCGUAGGUGGCCAACUAAGUCAGACGUGAAAUCCCUCGGCUUAACCGGGGAACUGCGUCUGAUACUGGAUGGCUUGAGUUCGGGAGAGGGAUGCGGAAUUCCAGGUGUAGCGGUGAAAUGCGUAGAUAUCUGGAGGAACACCGGUGGCGAAGGCGGCAUCCGGGACCGACACUGACACUGAGGAGCGAAAGCCAGGGGAGCAAACGGG